AUUUAACUGUUUUGUAUUUUUGCACAAAUACGGCGUGAUUCAAUUUGAUAUUUCACGAGAAUGCACAAAAUAAUGAGUCGCUUUUUGACAGUUGAAAUGGUGGGACAAAAUAUGUUUAUGUUGAGAGUACUGGACAUGGUUGGUCAUUCUGCUGAAAAACAACAGGAUCACCUGAUCGAGCAAAACUUAAGGUAACUUCUUAAACUUUUUUGUUUUUUGCGAUUCUAAGCUUCUGUAGAUCUCCGACCAGUUUGGUGCUUUUGUGAUGAUGAGCUUUAUUUCAAAUUUCCUGAAAAAAUAAAGCUUGGAGGCCUCAAACUCAAACAAAGUGAACUGUGGGAGCCUGUAAAGCUUAUCACUGCCUCCUCAAUCCUAAAAUCACCUUCAUACCUCUCUGAUAUUUAUGAUUGUAAUCUUGAUUUAAUUGAUCUCCUUUGUCAGAAAGCCCUUAUAGUUUUUAUUUAACUAUUUUCAAACUGCUUGGUAGUCGAAUACUCUCUGCAGCCCUUGAUUUAGCUUCAUGGAUUUGUAUAGUCGCUCCGUGUUACAGUAAAGUUAUAAAUACUCCAACACCUCCACAUGACCAACAACUGCAUCUGCACCAAGGCUUAAAAUAAAGUGAUAAUGAAACAAAAGCUCACAGGCACAACCCCGACACAGUACGGCGAGUGGUUGAAUGGAACAAGUGACAAAAAUAGUCACUGUAACAACAGCUUCAUGUCUUUCAUAAGUGUCGUUGAUUUGUCUCCCUCUAGGGGGAGCUGCUGCACCGUACCCUGUCAUCCCCAUCUGUUACACAAGAGACUGCAGAGGAGGAGGGCUAUGCAGCAAGACCUCCACAAUGGGCGAGAAGGUUAAAG